GGCUCAGAUUGAACGCUGGCGGCAGGCCUAACACAUGCAAGUCGAGCGGUAGCACAGAGAGCUUGCUCUCGGGUGACGAGCGGCGGACGGGUGAGUAAUGUCUGGGAAACUGCCUGAUGGAGGGGGAUAACUACUGGAAACGGUAGCUAAUACCGCAUAACGUCGCAAGACCAAAGUGGGGGACCUUCGGGCCUCAUGCCAUCAGAUGUGCCCAGAUGGGAUUAGCUAGUAGGUGGGGUAACGGCUCACCUAGGCGACGAUCCCUAGCUGGUCUGAGAGGAUGACCAGCCACACUGGAACUGAGACACGGUCCAGACUCCUACGGGAGGCAGCAGUGGGGAAUAUUGCACAAUGGGCGCAAGCCUGAUGCAGCCAUGCCGCGUGUGUGAAGAAGGCCUUCGGGUUGUAAAGCACUUUCAGCGGGGAGGAAGGCGAUACAGGUUAAUAACCUUGUCGAUUGACGUUACCCGCAGAAGAAGCACCGGCUAACUCCGUGCCAGCAGCCGCGGUAAUACGGAGGGUGCAAGCGUUAAUCGGAAUUACUGGGCGUAAAGCGCACGCAGGCGGUCUGUCAAGUCGGAUGUGAAAUCCCCGGGCUCAACCUGGGAACUGCAUUCGAAACUGGCAGGCUAGAGUCUUGUAGAGGGGGGUAGAAUUCCAGGUGUAGCGGUGAAAUGCGUAGAGAUCUGGAGGAAUACCGGUGGCGAAGGCGGCCCCCUGGACAAAGACUGACGCUCAGGUGCGAAAGCGUGGGGAGCAAACAGGAUUAGAUACCCUGGUAGUCCACGCCGUAAACGAUGUCGAUUUGGAGGUUGUGCCCUUGAGGCGUGGCUUCCGGAGCUAACGCGUUAAAUCGACCGCCUGGGGAGUACGGCCGCAAGGUUAAAACUCAAAUGAAUUGACGGGGGCCCGCACAAGCGGUGGAGCAUGUGGUUUAAUUCGAUGCAACGCGAAGAACCUUACCUGGUCUUGACAUCCACAGAACUUAGCAGAGAUGCCUUGGUGCCUUCGGGAACUGUGAGACAGGUGCUGCAUGGCUGUCGUCAGCUCGUGUUGUGAAAUGUUGGGUUAAGUCCCGCAACGAGCGCAACCCUUAUCCUUUGUUGCCAGCGGUUAGGCCGGGAACUCAAAGGAGACUGCCAGUGAUAAACUGGAGGAAGGUGGGGAUGACGUCAAGUCAUCAUGGCCCUUACGACCAGGGCUACACACGUGCUACAAUGGCAUAUACAAAGAGAAGCGACCUCGCGAGAGCAAGCGGACCUCAUAAAGUAUGUCGUAGUCCGGAUUGGAGUCUGCAACUCGACUCCAUGAAGUCGGAAUCGCUAGUAAUCGUAGAUCAGAAUGCUACGGUGAAUACGUUCCCGGGCCUUGUACACACCGCCCGUCACACCAUGGGAGUGGGUUGCUAAAAGAAGUAGUUAGCUUAACCUUCGGGAGGGCGCUU
rnacentral:rRNA from 1 species